GCGUCCAUAGCUCAAUUGGUAGAGCAAGCGCCUCUUAAGCGCGAGGUUGUGGGUUCAAUUCCCUCUGGACGCA
rnacentral:tRNA from 1 species